AUUCUCUCUCUAAAAACUCAGAACUCAGUCUUCUUCUCUCUAUCUUCUCUCUACCAUUCCCUUACCUUCAGCCAUUACAUGUUUGAUUAGGUGGUGCUCAAGUGACCGCGGCGCAGAGAGUUUUGCAACCAUCCGAUUAUAUUCUCGUUCUUCAGCGGGUAAGUCGUUUCCCUUUCUCCUCCGUGAUUUUGGAACCUAGGGCAUGCAACUCUGCUGGUUGCAUGUAGCUAGUAAUAUUUCUUUCCAUUUCCUCUGUUCAUUCGAGCUCUAAGAGUUGUUUCCUAUCACCAAUUUGGUGAAUGUAGGGUGUUGUGCGUUUCGCUAUGAGAGGUUCUGUGGAGUCGUUGUUGUGAGUUGUAUUAUGAGAACCCUAGUUUGGAGAUGCUUAAACGACGAUGGCGAGGUUUACGUUUCUACUCGAUCAAUUUCUUUCACAGAUUGUUUGUUGUGUUCACAAUGAUCAUCUGGUGGUUGUAAGCAGAGGAAAAUGAUGUGACUGUGAAACAAACUUUAGACAGAAACAACUCAGAUGCACAAUAAUUU
rnacentral:sRNA from 1 species